UUCCUGGCAGUUCUGGGGCUGGCCUGAAAUGCAGACCUGGUCUGCUCGAGAGAAGGUGAAUUUGUGGACCUCCCUCCUGCAAGAUGCUGUCAGGACAAGCUGUGAAGUUGGAUGUCUGAAACACAUCAAGAUGAUUUCCCAAACACCAGCACGCAACACCACUGAGCAUGGACCAGAGCAUUUUGUGAUGUGGCACUGCCAAGCACGAGCUUGCACAUGCCAAGCAGAAGCUCAGGCAGAGUGAAAUCUCCAUCUUGAACUGGAGAAAUAUUUCCCACAAACACUGUAAUUAUUCAAAGCUGAUAUAUUUCUGCAGUAACCUUCAAUCUGAUGGACUGUCACUUUUCUGAUGAAGAAUCACUUGUUUGGAG